rnacentral:miRNA from 1 species
GUCAAUGAACCUCAGGUAAGG